rnacentral:lncRNA from 1 species
GAAAAGAAAGCCUGUUUCUAUUAAAAACACAAUGGAUAGCCAGGAUGCAUUUAAUAAUUUUCUAUAAAAUAGCUUAAUAAAGAUUAGAUCUUUAUCUGAUAUGUAACAGAAUAGGGAUCAAAUCUCAAAGAUUCUGAAUCUAAAGUCUCGCGUAGGUCUGAAUCCACAAACCUUCUACUUCGCGCGCAUAUCAAACUUUAUAGGAAAAUAAGAUGAAGCCUCAGAUUAAAGCACCUUCGUAAGGCACCAAAGGGAG